rfam:Streptomyces aurantiacus JA 4570 Seq36, whole genome shotgun sequence.
GCCGGUCCUCGGUAGUGGCCCCCGGGAUACGAAAAGACGAACCCCGGGUGCUUCGAUCGAAGACCGGC